CGACGAACUCUGGUAUUGAUUGGUGCUUGCAUCAUGAUUUACAUUUGAGUGAGUGGCGAACUGGUGAGUAACACGUGGGAAACCUGCCCAGAAGCGGGGGAUAACACCUGGAAACAGAUGCUAAUACCGCAUAACAACUUGGACCGCAUGGUCCGAGUUUGAAAGAUGGCUUCGGCUAUCACUUUUGGAUGGUCCCGCGGCGUAUUAGCUAGAUGGUGGGGUAACGGCUCACCAUGGCAAUGAUACGUAGCCGACCUGAGAGGGUAAUCGGCCACAUUGGGACUGAGACACGGCCCAAACUCCUACGGGAGGCAGCAGUAGGGAAUCUUCCACAAUGGACGAAAGUCUGAUGGAGCAACGCCGCGUGAGUGAAGAAGGGUUUCGGCUCGUAAAACUCUGUUGUUAAAGAAGAACAUAUCUGAGAGUAACUGUUCAGGUAUUGACGGUAUUUAACCAGAAAGCCACGGCUAACUACGUGCCAGCAGCCGCGGUAAUACGUAGGUGGCAAGCGUUGUCCGGAUUUAUUGGGCGUAAAGCGAGCGCAGGCGGUUUUUUAAGUCUGAUGUGAAAGCCUUCGGCUCAACCGAAGAAGUGCAUCGGAAACUGGGAAACUUGAGUGCAGAAGAGGACAGUGGAACUCCAUGUGUAGCGGUGAAAUGCGUAGAUAUAUGGAAGAACACCAGUGGCGAAGGCGGCUG
rnacentral:rRNA from 1 species